rnacentral:rRNA from 1 species
AACUGAAGAGUUUGAUCAUGGCUCAGAUUGAACGCUGGCGGCAGGCUUAACACAUGCAAGUCGAGCGGGGGAAGGUAGCUUGCUACUGGACCUAGCGGCGGACGGGUGAGUAAUGCUUAGGAAUCUGCCUAUUAGUGGGGGACAACAUCUCGAAAGGGAUGCUAAUACCGCAUACGUCCUACGGGAGAAAGCAGGGGAUCUUCGGACCUUGCGCUAAUAGAUGAG